GUCAUAAACUGUUAUUUGUGAAUAGAUUCAUCUAUCAAUAAAUUUAUCAUAUAGGAUAGAAAUAAUUGGAAUCCUAAUUUCUAAUAUUUCUGAAUAAAUAAUCCUAUAAUAAUAAUAGGUUUAUUUCGUAAAAACUACUGGAGAUAUCGUUUAACGUUGCACAGAACAGUGGAAUCAAAAGAGGAUCAUUCCUCGGCGUGACUUCGACAUCGUUACACGUUGAUUAGUGCGGGAGAGUAACCGGAACAUUUUUAUUUUGUUUUCUGUAACUUUUGCAUCCUAUCAUGGAUUCCUUCGAAGAGGACCUUGCAUAUUUCUUACCUUUUGAUGAAGCUGAAUCAGACGAAACUCGAUUAAAAAAGUGCAUCGAUCAACUGUUCCAAAAACCUUUAAUAGUUAAUGAUACAAGAUUCGCAAAUAAUGCUGUACUGUAUAAUGUUAUGGGUGAGUACGAUAACAAACGAAUAUUAUAUCUCCUAUAUUCAGAUUUCCAGAUAUUCAGGUCUUCUCUUAGUUUUGUACAUUAUAUUUACUUUGGUAUAAAAUGUAUUAUGUGCAUAUAAUAUAGUGAUCUGUUUAUUAAAUUACGUAUUAUAAUUUUUUCAUUGUCGGUAUAGCAUCGAACCAAUCAGUGCAGGUGAGUUUUUCAUUAAAAAUGACUUAUAAACCAUCAGUUGGUGGAACAGUUUAGUCGUUAUAAUUACUAAUUUAGUCUUUAUAACUUACAUAUUAUAAGUCAUUAUUAACAACUAACUUACCAUGACUGAUUGGCAUUUGUGUACUUCUGUAAACGGAAGUAUACACGCAACUAUAUAUCGUAAAUUUAUGAUACUAGAGUACCAGGAAAUAUACACAUAUAUACAUAUCAAAUACGAUCAUAAAUUUGGAUCAAAUUUCAGUACUCGAUCUGCAAUUUUAUCUUUAGAAAUGGUAACGCUAUUUAAAACACUGAAUCUUAACUUCUACGAAUGAAUGAAAUAUCUUACCACGUAAUAUUCUUCAUAUUCGGACGAGAUAUCGUGCAAUUGCAAUGUCGUUCAUGUUGACGUUUUAAACGACAUCUCGGAUAUCUUUUCGUUAGAAAUGAAAAUAUCCAAAUAAAAACUCGGAUAAAAGACAGUUGGUAAGACACAGCCCGCUUAUGAAUAUGAAAACAACUAGCAAUCGCUAUUCACACUGAUAGAUCUAACGCCGCUUCGUCUAACGCUGAUUGAGGCCUCCGGGAAAAAGCUAUAUUCUUGAAGAAACAACAGCGUUACAUGAGGCAAUGUUGAACGCAUCAACAAAUUCAUAUAUACUUUAACGUGAACUUUCCAUUUCUAACAGUUUAUAAUUAAAUCUUAAGUAUUCGUUUGCUUCAAUCGAAUGAAAUUUCGUUCAUACGGAUAUGGAAUUGCAUGAUCAUUUGCUUUGAGAUUGGCGUAAGUCCAUUUUCCGUAAUUAGUAGUCAAGCUGUCGAGACGCUAACAAUAUAUUAAGUGAUGUAGGUUCAUUCACGAGCCUGAAAAAAGAUGUUGGUUCAAUCGAUUACUUAAAAAAAAAAAAAAAAAAAAA
rnacentral:lncRNA from 1 species